rnacentral:rRNA from 1 species
GAUGAACGCUGGCGGCGUGCCUAACACAUGCAAGUCGAACGGAGUCCAGCCUUUAAGACCUUCGGGUCAAAGAGGGGAAGACUGAGUGGCGGACGGGUGAGUAACACGUGGGCAACCUGGCUCAUAGAGGGGGAUAACAGAGAGAAAUUUCUGCUAAUACCGCAUAAGCACACACUGCCGCAUGGCAGAGGGUGAAAAGAGAAUCGCUAUGAGAUGGACCCGCGUCUGAUUAGCCAGUUGGCAGGGUAAGAGCCUACCAAAGCGACGAGCAGUAGCCGAUCUGAGAGGAUGAACGGCCACAUUGGGACUGAGACACGGCCCAAACUCCUACGGGAGGCAGCAGUGGGGGAUAUUGCACAAUGGGGGGAACCCUGAGGCAGCGACGCCGCGUGAGUAGAAGUAUUUCGGUAUGUAAAGCUCUAUCAGCAGGGAAGAUAAUGACAGUACCUGAAUAAGAAGCCCCGGCUAACUACGUG